rnacentral:rRNA from 1 species
UACGAAGGGGGCUAGCGUUGUUCGGAAUUACUGGGCGUAAAGGGCGCGUAGGCGGCGUGUCAAGUCAGGCGUGAAAGCCCCGGGCUCAACCUGGGAACCGCGCUUGAGACUGGCAUGCUCGAGUUCGGGAGAGGAUGGUGGAAUUCCCAGUGUAGAGGUGAAAUUCGUAGAUAUUGGGAAGAACACCGAUGGCGAAGGCAGCCAUCUGGACCGACACUGACGCUGAGGCGCGAAAGCUAGGGGAGCAAACGGG